rnacentral:rRNA from 1 species
GACGAACGCUGGCGGCGUGCUUAACACAUGCAAGUCGAACGGAAAGGCCCUGCUUUUGUGGGGUGCUCGAGUGGCGAACGGGUGAGUAACACGUGAGUAACCUGCCCUUGACUUUGGGAUAACUUCAGGAAACUGGAGCUAAUAUCGGAUAGGAGCUCCUGCUGCAUGGUGGGCGUUGGAAAGUUUCGGCGGUUGGGGAUGGACUCGCGGCUUAUCAGCUUGUUAGUGGGGUAGUGGCUUACCAAGGGUUUGACGGGUAGGCGGCCUGAGAGGGUGACCGGCCACAUUGGGACUACGAUACGGACCAGACUGCUACGGGAGGCAGCAGUGGGGAGUAUUACACAAUGGGCGGAAGCCUGAUGCAGCAGCGCCGCGUGCGGGAUGACGGCCUUCGGGUUGUAAACCGCUUUCGCCUGUGACGAAGCGUGAGUGACGGUAAUGGGUAAAGAAGCACCGGCUAACUACGUG